rnacentral:rRNA from 1 species
UAAUACAGAGGGUGCGAGCGUUAAUCGGAAUUACUGGGCGUAAAGGGCGCGUAGGCGGUUGUAUAUGUGUGAUGUGAAAGCCCCGGGCUUAACCUGGGAAGUGCAUCGCGAACUGUAUAACUGGAGUAUAUGAGAGGGUGGCGGAAUUUCCGGUGUAGCGGUGAAAUGCGUAGAGAUCGGAAGGAACGUCAAUGGCGAAGGCAGCCACCUGGCAUAAUACUGACGCUGAGGCGCGAAAGCGUGGGGAGCGAACAGGAUUAGAUACCCUGGUAGUCCACGCUGUAAACGAUGAGAACUAGAUGUUGGUUGGGGAACCAAUCAGUAUCGAAGCUAACGCGAUAAGUUCUCCGCCUGGGAAGUACGGCCGCAAGGUUG